UACGUAGGGGGCUAGCGUUAUCCGGAAUUACUGGGCGUAAAGGGUGCGUAGGUGGUUUCUUAAGUCAGAGGUAAAAGGCUACGGCUCAACCGUAGUAAGCCUUUGAAACUGGGGAACUUGAGUGCAGGAGAGGAGAGUGGAAUUCCUAGUGUAGCGGUGAAAUGCGUAGAUAUUAGGAGGAACACCAGUUGCGAAGGCGGCUCUCUGGACUGUAACUGACACUGAGGCACGAAAGCGUGGGGAGCAAACAGG
rnacentral:rRNA from 1 species